ACACCAGCCGAGCGUACGACAACAUGCCGCUGCGGCCGACGCCCUGAAGCGUCACGAGUUAAUAUCGGCUAGCCUGCCAACCUCAUUGUAAUAAGAAGUAGCCAAAAAAGUCAGCAGCCAUCAAAGCGACUGUCGUGAUCCACAGGGAAGGCGUCCAUGAUUAAGCGCUGUGUGGUUGCCGAAGUGCGGGAGCGAUAGACGCAAGAAAUCUCAUCAGCAGCCUCUUCGCUCGGUGAGCCGCCUCGCGAUAUUGGACUGCCGGCGAGUUAAUUAAUCUGCUUCCAGCGAGUUUGCCGCG